rnacentral:rRNA from 1 species
ACGCACGCUGGCGGCAUGCCUAACCCAUGCAAGUCGAACGAUGGUCUUCGGAUCAUAGUGGCGCACGGGUGCGUAACGCGUGGGAAUCUGCCCUUGGGUUCGGAAUAACAGUUGGAAACGACUGCUAAUACCGGAUGAUGUCGAUAAGACCAAAGAUUUAUCGCCCGAGGAUGAGCCCGCGUCGGAUUAGCUAGUUGGUGGGGUAAAGGCCUACCAAGGCGACGAUCCGUAGCUGGUCUGAGAGGAUGAUCAGCCACACUGGGACUGAGACACGGCCCAGACUCCUACGGGAGGCAGCAGUGGGGAAUAUUGGACAAUGGGCGCAAGCCUGAUCCAGCAAUGCCGCGUGAGUGAUGAAGGCCUUAGGGUUGUAAAGCUCUUUUACCCGGGAAGAUAAUGACUGUACCGGGAGAAUAAGCCCCGGCUAACUCCGUG